rnacentral:rRNA from 1 species
CCUACGGGGGGCAGCAGUAGGGAAUCUUCGGCAAUGGGGGCAACCCUGACCGAGCAACGCCGCGUGAGUGAAGAAGGUUUUCGGAUCGUAAAGCUCUGUUGUAAGUCAAGAACGAGUGUGAGAGUGGAAAGUUCACACUGUGACGGUAGCUUACCAGAAAGGGACGGCUAACUACGUGCCAGCAGCCGCGGUAAUACGUAGGUCCCGAGCGUUGUCCGGAUUUAUUGGGCGUAAAGCGAGCGCAGGCGGUUUGAUAAGUCUGAAGUUAAAGGCUGUGGCUCAACCAUAGUUCGCUUUGGAAACUGUCAAACUUGAGUGCAGAAGGGGAGAGUGGAAUUCCAUGUGUAGCGGUGAAAUGCGUAGAUAUAUGGAGGAACACCGGUGGCGAAAGCGGCUCUCUGGUCUGUAACUGACGCUGAGGCUCGAAAGCGUGGGGAGCGAACAGGAUUAGAUACCCCGGUAGUC